rnacentral:rRNA from 1 species
CAGUCGAGCGAACAGAUAAGGAGCUUGCUCCUUUGACGUUAGCGGCGGACGGGUGAGUAACACGUGGGUAACCUACCUAUAAGACUGGAAUAACUCCGGGAAACCGGGGCUAAUGCCGGAUAACAUUUAGAACCGCAUGGUUCUAAAGUGAAAGAUGGUUUUGCUAUCACUUAUAGAUGGACCCGCGCCGUAUUAGCUAGUUGGUAAGGUAAUGGCUUACCAAGGCAACGAUACGUAGCCGACCUGAGAGGGUGAUCGGCCACACUGGAACUGAGACACGGUCCAGACUCCUACGGGAGGCAGCAGUAGGGAAUCUUCCGCAAUGGGCGAAAGCCUGACGGAGCAACGCCGCGUGAGUGAUGAAGGGUUUCGGCUCGUAAAACUCUGUUAUUAGGGAAGAACAAACGUGUAAGUAACUGUGCACGUCUUGACGGUACCUAAUCAGAAAGCCACGGCUAACUACGUGCCAGCAGCCGCGGUAAUACGUAGGUGGCAAGCGUUAUCCGGAAUUAUUGGGCGUAAAGCGCGCGUAGGCGGUUUCUUAAGUCUGAUGUGAAAGCCCACGGCUCAACCGUGGAGGGUCAUUGGAAACUGGG